rnacentral:RNase_P_RNA from 2 species
AGCAGACUCAAGGCUGCGAUAUUCGCCACGCACAAGGCUCUGCCUCUCCUCGCGAAUGGGUCAAGGUCUGAGUAUUCUAGUCCUCUUUGAUUGGUCCUAGAGGGACUCGGUGGUCACCUGCCGAGCAGCGUACCAGAAAUUCAUCGUCUCCGUGAUACGUCUUAAGAGGUUGACUUUCGAGUCAAAGGAGGAUAUUCAUGUUAGACGAUUUGAAAUUCGUUGUAGGAUUGGGCGGCACUUUUUUUAUUGCUUGUGCUCUAGGUUGCUAUUCGACUCUCACGACAUGGAUGCGUGCUUACACGCCCGGGCUGAUGAGGCACGACACAAAGUGUCGUUCCGAUCUGAUGCAUUGGUUGCAGGUGUCAGUGUUGGCUUCAUUCUUCACUCCUGACCCUAGAAAUGUGUUGCUCAAAGUCUUGCGUUGUAGCGCAAGAUCGACCUAGAACGAAAACCUCUGUAGAGGUUUUUGUUAGCUCAUGCCAGCGCAGUUCGGGGUUUCCAUGCACGGAGAGUCGGCGACAGAGGGCAAGUAUGGGUGUCGUCCUUCAGUUCACUUCGCAGCUCGAAUCCUUCGGUAUCGAAACUCGAUUCAGACUACUCCUUGUCUGCU